CCUACGGGAGGCAGCAGUGGGGAAUAUUGGACAAUGGGGGCAACCCUGAUCCAGCAAUGCCGCGUGUGUGAAGAAGGUCUUCGGAUUGUAAAGCACUUUCGACGGGGACGAUGAUGACGGUACCCGUAGAAGAAGCCCCGGCUAACUUCGUGCCAGCAGCCGCGGUAAUACGAAGGGGGCUAGCGUUGCUCGGAAUGACUGGGCGUAAAGGGUGCGUAGGCGGCGAGAUAAGUCAGGCGUGAAGUUCCUGGGCUCAACCUGGGGACUGCGUUUGAGACUGUUUGGCUAGAGGAUGGAAGAGGCUCGUGGAAUUCCCAGUGUAGAGGUGAAAUUCGUAGAUAUUGGGAAGAACACCGGUGGCGAAGGCGGCGAGCUGGUCCAUUACUGACGCUGAGGCACGAUAGCGUGGGGAGCAAACAGGAUUAGAUACCCUGGUAGUCCACGCCGUAAACGAUGUGUGCUGGAUGUUGGGGUUCAUAGAACCUCAGUGUCGUAGCUACGACGAUAAGACACACCGCCGUCGGGUAGGUACGGCCGGCGAAGGUUAGUAAACGUUAAACGGUAAAGUUAGUACGGCGUGAGACGUGCCGACGGACGACGACGAGGGAGAGG
rnacentral:rRNA from 1 species